CCCACUGUAGCUUAGUUGGUAGAGCAUGGCGCUUGCAAUGCCAGGGUUGUGGUUUCGAUUCCCAUGGGGGGC
rnacentral:tRNA from 1 species